UCGUCACACUAUCAUUAACUGAAUCCAUAGGUUAAUGAGGCGAACCGGGGGAACUGAAACAUCUAAGUACCCCGAGGAAAAGAAAUCAACCGAGAUUCCCCCAGUAGCGGCGAGCGAACGGGGAGGAGCCCAGAGCCUGAAUCAGCAUGUGUGUUAGUGGAAGCGUCUGGAAAGGCGCGCGAUACAGGGUGACAGCCCCGUACACAAAAGCGCAUGUGCUGUGAGCUCGAUGAGUAGGGCGGGACACGUGGUAUCCUGUCUGAAUAUGGGGGGACCAUCCUCCAAGGCUAAAUACUCCUGACUGACCGAUAGUGAACCAGUACCGUGAGGGAAAGGCGAAAAGAACCCCGGCGAGGGGAGUGAAAAAGAACCUGAAACCGUGUACGUACAAGCAGUGGGAGCACAGGUUUACCUGUGUGACUGCGUACCUUUUGUAUAAUGGGUCAGCGACUUAUAUUCUGUAGCAAGGUUAACCGAAUAGGGGAGCCGGAGGGAAACCGAGUCUUAAUUGGGCGUUAAGUUGCAGGGUAUAGACCCGAAACCCGGUGAUCUAGCCAUGGGCAGGUUGAAGGUUGGGUAACACUAACUGGAGGACCGAACCGACUAAUGUUGAAAAAUUAGCGGAUGACCUGUGGCUGGGGGUGAAAGGCCAAUCAAACCGGGAGAUAGCUGGUUCUCCCCGAAAGCUAUUUAGGUAGCGCCUCGUGAAUUCAUCUCCGGGGGUAGAGCACUGUUUCGGCUAGGGGGCCAUCCCGGCUUACCAACCCGAUGCAAACUGCGAAUACCGGAGAAUGUUAUCACGGGAGACACACGGCGGGUGCUAACGUCCGUCGUGAAGAGGGAAACAACCCAGACCGCCAGCUAAGGUCCCAAAGUCAUGGUUAAGUGGGAAACGAUGUGGGAAGGCCCAGACAGCCAGGAUGUUGGCUUAGAAGCAGCCAUCAUUUAAAGAAAGCGUAAUAGCUCACUGGUCGAGUCGGCCUGCGCGGAAGAUGUAACGGGGCUAAACCAUGCACCGAAGCUGCGGCAGCGACGCUGAUGCGUUGUUGGGUAGGGGAGCGUUCUGUAAGCCUGUGAAGGUGGCCUGUGAGGGUUGCUGG
rnacentral:rRNA from 1 species